GGAUCAGGUUGUAGACGGCCACCACAGGGAUGGAAAGGAUGGGGACAACGAUGAGGACGACGAUUAUGCCAAACACCCACUUUGGGAUAUGUUGGAUAUGCACCAGCCUGGAGAGCCACGUAAGCAACAAAAACCACCAGGAGCAUCAAUGGACUAAUCACCAUCCAACACGCCUUCCAGUAGAUGUUGGGCCUCCUCCCGGUCAUGAAGUAAAUGUCUUCACUAAAUCUGUCACAGGAAAUGGAGAUAUAUGGAAGACAGGAUUAUGUAAUUUGCACAAAAAGGACCAAACUCGAACCUCCAAGAUGUCGGCGCUUUCUCCAAGCAAAGCUGGGAUUUCCAGAGACUAACUUCAGAAUUUAGAGUGGAGCACAAGGUCAGCUGGUUUUCUUUACCUGAACUCAAUUGAACACAUUUUUCAGUUUGGGUGUUGGUUUUCAUGCCAGUGGAAUCACUAGAACUACGUUGGACGACUUGUGGGAAAUUUGAAUCCAAGAGAUGCCAUCCCACAAUGGCGUGUGACCAAGCUGGUGACUAUAUGGAGGAGAUGCCGGACUAUGGUGAUAGUGUAAGGUACUCCGACAUACCAUUGCUGGUCAAAAUCACAAACUGUUAAGUUUUCAUUUUCUUAUUUGACCCAUCAUCCUAUCCAAAUACUAGAAAAAGAGUUAUUAGUGGAAUAAUCUUUUUGGCUGUUUCAAACCUAUGAUGGUGAUAAGUUUAAUUGCAAGAACAAAGUCAUGAGAUAUGCAGAAUAAAGAUGCAAUAUUACUAUAAAAAGUUAAAUUUCUAGAAAAAAGUUGUUUCAAUGAGAAAAAAAAAACUUUGAUAGUUAUUAAGAUCUCUUGUGACCAUCUCAUGACCACUGAUGUUGAUGUGUUACAAGAUUAGGUAUUUUCUUUGACUUUAUUCUCAUAUUACUUAAACUUCAUUGUCUUAUUUUAAUCUCAUUAUCACUUUAUUCUAUUUAUUCUAUUAUGGUAUUAGUUUGACUUUAUUGCCAUCCUACUUUACUCUUGUAAUUCUUGUAACACUUUGACUUUGUUCUCACAAUAUUCUGACUUUAUUUCAGUAAUAUUAUUCUUGUAGUUUAAAAUGUUUUUGUCUUAACCUGGCUCUAAUACUUUGUGAAUGUAUUUUCCUUGCCAAUGUGAUGUCAUUUAAAAGCCAAUAAACAGGCCUUGCAUUGGUAUAAAAUUUA